rnacentral:lncRNA from 1 species
CUCCCCAAAUACAAUGAUACAAUAGGAUCUUUUAAAAGCAACUUCAGAACUCCAGGACAAAAAGAAGAAAAAUCAGAUGAGGUCAGAUGUGAAAUCAACACACAGAAGGCACAUCAUGAAGUCUAUGGCCUGAGUUGGCAGUAAUACAAAGGCAAUGCAGGAUACCCUUGCCCAGAAGCACAGCAAUUUCUGGUUACUGGAUACAGUGAGUCCCAGAGAAAUGAUUAGUCUAAGUCAAUCCAGACUGCCUCACAAGUCAGAAAUGAAGAGAAGGGCCAGAUGGAAGCUUGGCAAGAUGGACUAAAGCCCAGACUCCAGUUUUCUUCACUUCUCAUGCUCACUCUUCUUUAAUUAAUGGUGAUACUGUCGAUGCUAACCCUUUCUUUCCUUCAGUAGAAGUCGUUGCUGUGAGUUGUCUCCUCAGUGAUGGAAACAUACUCACUCUUGGGAAUCAACAGAACAUCCUAGCAAAUUGAAACCACAGCAUUCACCUAAUGAAUGGAAUCCUUCUUGGUGAAAAUCCAGCUACUUCAUUAACUAGGAUCGAACCAUACACUCAGCUUCAUUAGGUUCAUGUCUAUUCAACUGAAAUAUCCAGCCCCAAAGACACUGAAAUGCAAGUUAUAUGGGCAGAACAAUUCUGAGGAUUCGUGGAAACAUAUACCUUCUCUGCUCAGAAAUAGAUAUUAAAAUAGGUAAGAGGAUAUCAUAGGGAAAAAAGAUUACUGCUAACAAGAACAAGGGGGGAAAAUGGCAAAAGGAAAUUAGAGAAUUUGAACAUUUUAUCUGAAUUCAUCCAAGUCUCACCACGGAAGAAGAACAGGCUGUUGACAACUUUCUCGAGAGUUUACACGGCAAAGCCCCUGCUGGAUAAUCCACCGUCCCAGGUCUAAGCAUUCACAUCAAAAACAAAACAGACUCUCAGCAGGCAUAACUACCUUUUGAAACUGAUUUAGGACAUAAUUUAAAUGCUUUCUGAAAUUACAGGGUUUUUUUUUUUAAUGCAUUCAUCCUGUCUCUACCUCCUUACCUCUCAAUUCUUUUUCUCUAUUGUAGAAAAAAAAAGAAGGUUAGCAAAAUUUGAAGAAGAAGGUUAAAAGGUGAGCUGUAUUGCAGAGAUAAAUAAGUUCACAUUCCCCUGGCCAUGACUCCCUGGGCUGUACAAUUUGAAGAGAGAAUAAAAUGAGUCUCAUCUUUCGCA